UUCAAGGCCAAUUUCUGGCUUCCUCUGACAUCGUCUCAGGCGAAGGGUAGCAUGGGUGAACUCAGGGUAUCAAGACGAACAAAGCCCAGCCAAGGAUCGGGCUUUUAAGUGACCGGAGGAGACGGAAUCAACUCUCCAUUUGCUGCUCGUAGUCUUCUUCUCGAGUUGGAAGAAGAUGUAAAACUUCUGGAAGAGAUGUACCCACAAGGAGAGAAGGUAAUGCUGAGACUUCUUGGGCUCUGACUGUUCUUGGUUACUUGGCAAAACUUGUCUUGGGGAUUU